rnacentral:rRNA from 1 species
UACGGAGGAUGCGAGCGUUAUCCGGAUUUAUUGGGUUUAAAGGGUGCGUAGGCGGGCUUUUAAGUCAGCGAUAAAAAUUCGGGGCUCAACCCCGUCCGGCCGUUGAAACUGGGGGUCUUGAGUGGGCGAGAAGAAGGCGGAAUGCGUGGUGUAGCGGUGAAAUGCAUAGAUAUCACGCAGAACCCCGAUUGCGAAGGCAGCCUUCCGGCGCCCUACUGACGCUGAGGCACGAAAGUGCGGGGAUCGAACAGG